GUUCUGGUGGCCUAGUGGUUAGAGCGUCCGCCCCGGAUGCGAGAGGUCGUGAGUUUGAUUUCCGGCUCGAAUCA